GUUAGCACAGAGGCUGUCCAAAUUCGGAGCAGACAGGAGCACCCUGGCUGAGAGAGCUGGGGGAGCUGGGGGGUAGGCUCUGUGCUAAUCUGUGUCCAGCCGGGUGCGGUCCUGGAAGACAGAGUCCGAGGACGCCGGGGUCCAAGUCUAUGGACCAGGCUUGACAGAGGACAGAGAAGUGCUGGCGGUGUUUUCAUGACCUGUUGGAAUCUGCCCCUUUAAAGAAUUCCUGUUUUCAGAUUCCUCCUCCCCCACCUCAGUGGGUGUAAAUCUGGAACCAGGGAAGAGAGUUGCCAAGAGACUAGACCAAGAUUUAAAAACAAAACCAAGCAGAUUCCCCAGGCCAGUCAUCAGGCCAUGAUUAAAAUCUGUUCCUCACUGAUGAUCAGUCCCAUGAUUUGAAACACCAGUUGAAGUGCUACACGGGAAUUAAUGCAUUUACAAUGUAAAGAAGUACUCAUCCAGGGACGUGAAACUGGCUGAUAAUUGAAUGUUCUACUUCUCAAGUUUAAAGAAAAGAGAAG
rnacentral:lncRNA from 1 species